CACAUGCAACAGAUUGGGAGGAGGAGAGGAGGCUGGAAGGGCAGAAUUUUAGAGCAUGUUUCAUGGAUCUGUGGGAAAGAUGAAAGUGAAUUAUGCUCAUGCGGUGCCAUAAAAUGUGCAUUAGUUUAAUAUGCAAAACCAACCAAACAAAUGGAUUCUCAGUGUUUCAUGUUUUUUACGAUGACACAUUGCUGUUUUACUCCCAGAUCUGGUUCAAGGCCUGGACUUUCCUCUGUGAAGCCCUGAGUGUCAAGAGAUGACUUUUCACACCAUCAAGGCCACUUUCUCAGCUUAUUGACAGCUUUAUGAGCACUGUUGGAAAAGCCCCAGCUUCCUUCGUUCCUCAGCUCCAGUUUUCCUUCGGGUGAGAGGGCUGGGAGGUCCCUGAGUUAUCGCACCUGGAUGUGUGUUACCUGCUGCUUCUCCACCCUUGAGGUGUAUGAUCAUAUCAGGACAACUGGUCAGGAUGUGCUACAGAGCAGCAUUUUCAGUCUUCUUGACUCAGCAGAAAGCAGAAACCCUGCAGUCAAGAUACCCAAACCCUGCUCAAUGCCUUGGCCUUGCUGCAGCAGGUAGCCAGGCAGCUGGCUGUGUGAUCCUAUGGCGCGUGGCUCAGCACAACUUGUGCUCCAGAGGACGUCCAGAAGAGAUUAGCAGGUAUGAGAAAUUACAAACAAAAUCAAGUUUUUGGAAAUGAAAUGGAGAGCUGUCGUGACAGGCAUUGUUAGUGGCUGCUAAUCCACUGAGCAGAGAGCGGAGAAGCCCCAGUCCAGCCCAGUAUAGGGUAGAAUAAAUUCCCUGUCUCUGUUUUAUGUCCUGUCUGU
rnacentral:lncRNA from 1 species